rnacentral:rRNA from 1 species
GACGAACGCUGGCGGCGCGCCUAACACAUGCAAGUCGAACGGAGUUAAUUGAAUUGAAGUUUUCGGAUGGAUUUUUGGUUAACUUAGUGGCGAACGGGUGAGUAACGCGUGGGUAACCUGCCUUUCAGAGGGGGACAACAGUUGGAAACGACUGCUAAUACCGCAUAAUGUCAUCGAGCGGCAUCGCUUGAUGACCAAAGAUUUAUUGCUGAAAGAUGGCCUCGCGUCUGAUUAGCUAGUUGGUGGGGUAACGGCCCACCAAGGCGACGAUCAGUAGCCGGUCUGAGAGGAUGAACGGCCACAUUGGGACUGAGAUACGGCCCAGACUCCUACGGGAGGCAGCAGUGGGGAAUAUUGGGCAAUGGGGGAAACCCUGACCCAGCAACGCCGCGUGAAGGAAGAAGGCCUCGGUUGUAACGUUCUUUAGUCAGGGACGAAGAACGUAGACGGUACC